AAGGUCCCAGGCAGGAGAUACCCACAAGGCUUUGAGGCAGGAAGCAAGAGGAUAGAAAAGCUCCAGGACCUUGUCAGGCCUCACCUGUGCCCCAAGAGAAGCAUAAUGGGGCUCAGCCCCCUAGUUAUUCUCCCCUCUUUGGAUCAGCUUCAGGAAGGGCCAGUUUAUAAAUUACUGGACAUGAGUCGUCACCUAGAGUUUUUGCCAUUUUUUUUCAUUCGCACAUUUGAAAAUAAAAUCACCUCAGGUUUUGUCACAAAUACUGACACUAAA